CUUACCGGGACCGACAGCAAUAUGAAGGCCAGGCUGAAGACUUUGCCGGAUUAGCUGAGAGGUGGUGCAUGGCCGUCGUCAGUUCGUACUGUGAAGCAUCCUGUUAAGUCAGGCAACGAGCGAGACCCACGCCCACAGUUGCCAGCGUACUCUCUGGAGUGACGGGUACACUGUGGGACCGCCGCUGCUAAAGCGGAGGAAGGAAUGGGCAACGGUAGGUCAGUAUGCCCCGAAUAUCCCGGGCUACACGCGAGCUACAAUGGUUGGUACAAUGGGUAUCUACCCCGAAAGGGGACGGGAAUCUCCUAAAACCAAUCUUAGUUCGGAUUGAGGGCUGCAACUCGCCCUCAUGAAGCUGGAAUCCGUAGUAAUCGCGUUUCAACAGAACGCGGUGAAUACGUCCCUGCUCCUU
rnacentral:rRNA from 1 species